rnacentral:rRNA from 1 species
AUACGUAGGGUGCGAGCGUUGUCCGGAAUUACUGGGCGUAAAGAGCUCGUAGGUGGUUUGUCGCGUCGUCUGUGAAAUUCCGGGGCUUAACUCCGGGCGUGCAGGCGAUACGGGCAUAACUUGAGUACUGUAGGGGAGACUGGAAUUCCUGGUGUAGCGGUGAAAUGCGCAGAUAUCAGGAGGAACACCGGGGGCGAAGGCGGGUCUCUGGGCAGUAAAUGACGCUGGGGAGCGAAAGCAUGGGUAGCGAACAGGAUUUUAUACCCUGGUGGUCCAUGCCGUAAACGGGGGGCGCUAGGUGUAGGGGUCUUCCCGGACUUCUGUGCCGUAGCUAACGCAUUAAGCGCCCCGCCUGGGGAGUACGGCCGCAAGGCUAAAACUCAAAUGAAUUGACGGGG